CUUUGGUUUCCUUUCCUUUGCAUCAUGCUUUCUAAUUCCAAUUCCAAUUUUUAGCUCUUAUCUUACCUCUCUCUUUCUCUGUUUCUGUCUCUCUUCACUCUCAAUCUUCCUCCUCAAAGCUCUCUAUAUUUAGGGAUUUUAUUUUAUUUUUGAGGGGGAGGGAGUGAGUAACACACUGUGAUUCACUGAUUUUCACUCCUAAAAUGAGCAAAGAAGGUGUCAGGCAGAUUGAGGAACAGGUUGAAGGGCAUGUUUUUGUGAAAGUCACUUCCUGUUUGUUUCCUUAUUCUGGUGAAGAAGUUGGAGGAGAUUGAUAUUAACAUCACACAGCUUUUGAAGGAUGGUGAAACAGAAUCUACAGUCCAAGCACUGUUAAUUGAAGUCCCCCCAAUCAAAUAAAUAACUGCAACACAAAAUUACUGCUAGAAGGUUUACUGUUUGCAAAUUCAGAUCGUACUGAUGCAGAAUGAAUAUAUGGUUGUAACAUGCAAUGGUGUCAGUUGUGUGUGUUGUUCAUUGCAGCUGUUAAUCUUACGUGUGAAAAUUAAGAAUGAAGGUAACGUUGGUAUGUAUGACAAUGAUUGGUGUUUCAGAAACGUGACACCGUUAAAAUUGUAGCAUAGAAUAAGAGGGAAUUUUUCUUUCCAAUUCUCUUUCAUCUUAUUUCUGCAUACUUCAUUUUUUCCUAACUCUUCUUUUUCAUUUCACUGAUCAAUCAUCCUAAAAUAGUGAAGUGUAAAUUUAUGUUUGUUCUUUUCUUUCAA